GACGAACGCUGGCGGCGUGCUUAACACAUGCAAGUCGAACGAAGUGGCGAACGGGUGAGUAACGCGUACUCAACCUGCCCUUCAGAGGGGGACAACAGUUGGAAACGACUGCUAAUACCGCAUACUGAAGGAGGGGAUUGCGUCUGAUUAGCUAGUGGGAGGGGUAACGGCCCCCCAAGGCGAUGAUCAGUCGCCGGUCUGAUAGGAGGAACGGCCACAUUGGGACGUAGACACGGCCCAGACUCCUACGGGAGGAAGCAGUGGGGAAUCUUCCGCAAUGGACGAAAGUCGGACGGAGCAACGCCGCGUGAGUGAUGACGGCCUUCGGGUUGUAAAGCGCUGUUAAUCGGGACGCGGUACCGGAAUAGAAAGCCACGGCUAACUACGUGCCAGCAGCCGCGGUAAUUC
rnacentral:rRNA from 1 species